UGUGGCGUUACAGAUCUCUGCUCCAGUAACUGGCUGUGGUGUUACAAAUCUCUGCUCCUGUAACUGGCUGUGGCGUUACAGAUCUCUGCUCCAGUAACUGGUUGUGGAGUUACAAAUCUCUGCUCCUGUAACUGGCUGUGGCGUUACAGAUCUCUGCUCCAGUAACUGGCUGUGGCGUUACAGAUCUCUGCUCCAGUAACUGGCUGUGGCGUUACAGAUCUCUGCUCCAGUAACUGGCUGUGGCGUUACAAAUCUCUGCUCCUGUAACUGGCUGUGGCGUUACAGAUCUCUGCUCCAGUAACUGGCUGUGGCGUUACAGAUCUCUGCUCCAGUAACUGGCUGUGGCGUUACAGAUCUCUGCUCCUGUAACUGGCUGUGGCGUUACAGAUCUCUGCUCCAGUAACUGGCUGUGGCGUUACAGAUCUCUGCUCCAGUAACUGGUUGUGGCGUUACAAAUCUCUGCUCCUGUAACUGGCUGUGGCGUUACAGAUCUCUGCUCCAGUAACUGGCUGUGGCGUUACAGAUCUCUGCUCCAGUAACUGGCUGUGGCGUUACAGAUCUCUGCUCCAGUAACUGGCUGUGGCGUUACAGAUCUCUGCUCCAGCAACUGCCGACAUCUAUCACACUUAUUGCAUUCACACCAAGUCACCCAGUCUAAUGCCAAGUCACCCAGUCUAAGAUGCUAAGUCACCCAGUCUAAGAUGCCAAGUCACCCAGUCUAAGAUGCCAAGUCACCCAGUCUAAGAUGCCAAGUCACCCAGUCUAAGAUGCCAAGUCACCCAGUCUAAGAUGCCAAGUCACCCAGUCUAAGAUGCCAAGUCACCCAGUCUAAUGCC
rnacentral:lncRNA from 1 species